ACGCCGGCAGCUCAAGUGGUAGCCGCUUUUAUUGGGCCUAAAGCGUCCGUAGCCGGUCUGAUAAGUCUCUGGUGAAAUCCCGCAGCUUAACUGUGGGAAUUGCUGGAGAUACUAUCAUGACUCGAGGUCGGGAGAGGCUGGAGGUACUCCCAGGGUAGGGGUGAAAUCCUGUAAUCCUGGGAGGACCACCUGUGGCGAAGGCGUCCAGCUGGAACGAUCGUGACGGUGAGGGACGAAAGCCAGGGGCGCGAACCGGAUUAGAUACCCGGGUAGUCCUGGCCGUAAACGAUGUGGACUUGGUGUUGGGAUGGCUUCGAGCUGCCCCAGUGCCGAAGGGAAGCUGUUAAGUCCACCGCCUGGGAAGUACGGCCGCAAGGCUGAAACUUAAAGGAAUUGACGGGG
rnacentral:rRNA from 1 species